AUCUCUCCGGGUUGAAAACUCCGGUGGUUAUAGAUGGACAUGCGUUGUAUUAGCUAGUUGGUGAGGUAACGGCUCACCAAGGCAACGAUACAUAGGGGGACUGAGAGGUUAACCCCCCACACUGGCACUGAGACACGGACCAGACUCCUACGGGAGGCAGCAGUGAGGAAUAUUGGUCAAUGGACGCAAGUCUGAACCAGCCAUGCCGCGUGCAGGAAGACGGCUCUAUGAGUUGUAAACUGCUUUUGUACGAGGGUAAACUCACCUACGUGUAGGUGACUGAAAGUAUCGUACGAAUAAGGAUCGGCUAACUCCGUGCCAGCAGCCGCGGUAAUACGGAGGAUUCAAGCGUUACCCGGAUUUAUUGGGUCUAAAGGGUGCGUAGGCGGUUUGAUAAGUUAGAGGUGAAAUCCCGGGGCUUAACUCCGGAACUGCCUCUAAUACUGUUAGACUAGAGAGUAGUUGCGGUAGGCGGAAUGUAUGGUGUAGCGGUGAAAUGCUUAGAGAUCAUACAGAACACCGAUUGCGAAGGCAGCUUACCAAACUAUAUCUG
rnacentral:rRNA from 1 species